GAGUGUGUGGCCUAAAGGAUAAAGUGUCUGACUUUAGAUUAAAAAAGUUAACAGUUAAGGGUUCAAAUCCUUUCACAGUUA
rnacentral:tRNA from 1 species